AAGGAGACUAGACAUCUACCACCCCACUACCACUAUCAGAUUAGAGCCAUAAAGGAGACUAGACAUCUACCACCCCACUACCACUAUCAGAUUAGAGCCAUAAUGGAGAAUAGACAUCUACCACCCCACUACCACUAUCAGAUUAGAGCCAUAAGGGAGACUAGACAUCUACCACCCCACUACCACUAUCAGAUUAGAGCCAUAAGGGAGACUAGACAUCUACCACCCCAUUACCACUAUCACAUUAGAGCCAUAAGGGAGACUAGACAUCUACCACCCCACUACCACUAUCAGAUUAGAGCCAUCAAGCAGACUAGACAUCUACCACCCAACUACCACUAUCACAUUAGAGCCAUAAGGGAGACUAGACAUCUACCACCCCACUACCACUAUCAGAUUAGAGCCAUAAGGGAGACUAGACAUCUACCACCCCACUACCACUAUCAGAUUAGAGCCAUAAGGGAGAAUAGACAUCUACCACCCCACUGCUACUAUCAGAUUAGAGCCAUAAAGGAGACUAGACAUCUACCACCCCACUACCACUAUCAGAUUAGAGCCAUCAAGCAGACUAGGCAUCUACCACUAUCAGAUUAUAGCCAAAAGGGAGAAUAGACAUCUACCAACCCACUUCCACUGUCAGAUUAGAACCAUAAGGGAGACUAGACAUCUACCACCCCACUACCACUAUCAGAUUAGAGCCAUAAGGGAGACUAGACAUCUACCACCCCAUUACCACCAUCAGAUUAGAGCCAUAAGGAAGAAUAGACAUCUACCACCCCACUACCACUAUCAGAUUAGAGCCAUAAAGCAGACUAGGCAUAUACCACUAUCAGAUUAUAGCCAUAAGGGAGAUUAGACAUC
ensembl:lncRNA